rnacentral:misc_RNA from 1 species
UUUUUUCAUUAAUUUUGUAUUGUCAUUGGGGAGAAUAAACCCACCAACUCCAAAUUAUUGAAAUCAAUAUCAGGUAACAUAUGAAAUGUUGCAUGUUUUUGUUAAAUGAGGGAAUCCGAAGAUUCCACAAAUUUGAUUGUUUGUCCGUGGGACGCAAAAGUCGGAUUUGACCUGUUACAGUCGCAUCCUUCUCUUGUUUUUUUAAUAGUAAACACUGAUUGAAAUUAACCCGAAAGUUAACCGCAUUCAAAUGAAUACUAAGAAAAAGAGGUGUGGUAAUGAUCCUUCCGCAGGUUCACCUACGGAAA